rnacentral:rRNA from 1 species
UAGGGAAUAUUGCGCAAUGGAGGAAACUCUGACGCAGCGACGCCGCGUGGGUGACGAAGGCCUUCGGGUCGUAAAGCCCUGUCGGAAGAGAAGAAAAACAAAGUGGCUAACAUCCACUAUGCUUGACGGUAUCUUCAGAGGAAGCACCGGCUAACUACGUGCCAGCAGCCGCGGUAAUACGUAGGGUGCUAGCGUUGUUCGGAAUCAUUGGGCGUAAAGCGCGUGUAGGCGGUUAGUUAAGUCGAUUGUGAAAUCCCUGGGCUUAACCGAGGAAGUGCAUUCGAAACUAACUAGCUAGAAGACGGUAGAGGAAGGUGGAAUUCCUAGUGUAGAGGUGAAAUUCGUAGAUAUUAGGAGGAAUACCGGUGGCGAAGGCGGCCUUCUGGGCCGAUCUUGACGCUGAGACGCGAAAGCGUGGGGAGCAAACAGGAUUAGAUACCCGCGUAGUCC